rnacentral:rRNA from 1 species
GACAGAGGUGCCGAGCGUUAGGCGGAAUCACUGGGCUUAAAGCGUGUGUAGGCGGGUCGUUAAGUGUCUUGUGAAAUCCCACCGCUCAACGGUGGAACCGCUGGGCAUACUGGCGAUCUUGAGCAGUCCAGGAGCGAGCGGAACAAGCGGUGGAGCGGUGAAAUGCGUAGAUAUCGCUUGGAACGCCGACGGUGAAAACAGCUCGCUGGGGACUCGCUGACGCUGAGACACGAAAGCCAGGGGAGCGAACGGG